UACAGAGGGCUCAAGCGUUGUUCGGAUUCAUUGGGCGUAAAGGGUGCGUAGGCGGUCGUGUAAGUCGGAUGUGAAACCUCAGGGCUCAACCCUGAAACUGCAUUCGAUACUGCCUGGCUAGGGUACUGGAGAGGAGACUGGAAUUUACGGUGUAGCAGUGAAAUGCGUAGAUAUCGUAAGGAAGACCAGUGGCGAAGGCGAGUCUCUGGACAGUUACCGACGCUGAGGCACGAAGGCCAGGGGAGCAAACGGG
rnacentral:rRNA from 1 species